CCCUCCUCUCGUUUUAUUUGAAUAAAAAAUUGGAUGGCAUUUGGGGGCCGCUGUGCUGCUGUAGCAGCUUCAAGCAUUCCAGCAGCAACAGAGGAGCCCCCUUUUCUCAUCAAAUGAGAGUCCGUCGAUACUUUUUU
ensembl:snoRNA Y39A1A.30 ncRNA